AAUAUGUGACAAUGGGGGCAACCCUGAUCCAGCCAUUCCGCGUGAGUGAUGAAGGNCUNNGGGUUNUNAAGCUCUUUCAGUGGNNNNNAUAAUGACGGUACUCACCCAAGAAGCCCCGGCUAACUUCGUGCCAUCAGCCGCGGUAAUACGAAGGGGGCUAGCGUUUUUCGGAUUUACUGGGCGUAAAGCGCAGGUAGGCGGAUUGGUCAGUUAGGGGUGAAAUCCCGGAGCUCAACUCCGGAACUGCCCUUAAUACUGCCAGUCUAGAGUCCGAGAGAGGUGAGUGGAACUCCUAGUGUAGAGGUGGAAUUCGUAGAUAUUAGGAAGAACACCAGUGGCGAAGGCGGCUCACUGGCUCGGUACUGACGCUGAGGUGCGAAAGCGUGGGGAGCAAAC
rnacentral:rRNA from 1 species